AUGGGCGCCCUUCCACCGCCGCCGCCAAAACCUGCCGACGGGAGCGAAUCGGAUCGCCGGGAGGAAUCCUUUCGGGCCACGAUUCCGAUGUACACGGUGUCUACGAGUCUAAGCCGGCCCUUUCAGGAGUCCGAACACGCCACGUUCUCAAGGCGCACGACGGGGACGGGGGAUACAAAAACCCUAGACCCUGAUCGCCGCACCACACAAAACCAGGGGAAGCCUGCAAAACCUCCAGAUCACAUCACGUCUCAGAGUCGCCGCAAGGAGGAGAUGUCGCAGAUCAAUCCAAAGGCGAAGGGCGGGGGUGAUCAAGGCGGAUCCGGUGAGGAUCUCGCUCACCCGAAGCCCCUCGGCGAUGGAGCGAUCGUGGCGUCUAGGAGAGCGGACUCACAUGAGGCUUGGGAGGAGGAUACGCCGGAGAAUAGCAACUGGGACGGACCAGCAACAGACGGAGUUUUGCCGGAGGGAGUGGAAGAGCAACUUGCAGGUGAGGUGGACAUGGACGAUGUUGCUUUCGUUGCAGUUGAUCUGGAUGAUGAUGAGGAGGAGGUAGAAGAGGAAGACAAACCCAGAUGGAGAUUGAUGGGGCUUUACAGAUCGCAGCGGAGACCAAGCACAAAAACCUUAUCUGGGCACUUUGAGAAAAUUUGGCAACUGCGUACGUGGGUCGAGUUUAAGCCAGUUAAGAACAACUACUAUAUCAUAUCUCUGUUCUCGGAGGGAGACUUUAGGUUUGUGGCAGAGGGGGGCCUUGGAUAUAUGAUGGUGAUGCUCUGCUAG
rnacentral:rRNA from 1 species